UUUGUUGCACUGAAGAGAGCUUGAGCCGCAAAGAGAGCUAUCCGUGAACAGUAUGCUGUGUGUGCGAAAAUUCACUGUCAUGGAGCUGCUCUCUUUAUGGACAGGUUCGAGAUCUACGGAAUAUAAA
rnacentral:pre_miRNA from 11 species